rnacentral:tRNA from 2 species
GGAGAGGUGUCCGAGUGGUUGAAGGAGCACGCCUGGAAAGUGUGUAGGCGGCUAUAAACCGCCUCGGGGGUUCGAAUCCCCCUCUCUCCGCCA